GUUCAGUAUUUUAAAGUCGUUUUAAAAUGGGCUUUAUGGUCUUUUUUUCACCCAUUUUAACACCUAGAUAUGUCAAAAUGAAGCAUAGAACUUUAGAAUCAUCCAAAGCAUCAAGAACUAGGGUUUUCUCUCAAGAUUAACCCUCAAAAGCAAAUCCAAAUCUUUCUCCAAGAACCUUAAGAUUCCACCAUAGUUUCUACAAAUUAAGUAAAGAUUCAAGGUUCUCAAAUCAAAAGCUUCAAGAACCCUCACUCAAGAGUAAGAAAAAGAUCCUCAAGCAAACUUGUUCAUCUACAAGUCAUAAUCUAAGGUAUCUGGGGUUUGAAAAAGGACACUCCUUUCGUCAUUGUGCCCAAAAGUUGUUUUAAUUACAAAGAUAUAUGGUUUUACAUGUUUUCUUAUGAAAUUGAAGUAUGGGUUUAUACCCUAUGUUAUUAUUUCUUCAGAUUAUGAUAGUUUUAGUGUUUUAGAAAUUGAAGUACAUGAGUAUGUUGAGAUUAUAAUGCAAUUGCUGAAAAUUUCCAGAUUUCUAUAUGAUUUAUGAAUCUUUAUGAUAUCGAGUAUGAAUUUUGAUAUGUCUUAAUGUGAGAUUGAUAUAUUGGUCAUUAAGCCUUAUUUGAGAUUGUAAUGUUAAGAACUUUUGUGCUAUAAGCACCCAUGGUUUGAGUAUUUUGAGAUUAUUGAAAAAGUUUUGACCUUGACGGUCAUAGUAGCUUUGAAAUCCACUAUUCUAAAUGAGAUUACAAAUUUUAUAGUUGGGUUCUUUAUGAACCAUGAGAUUAUUUUAAAGUGGAUUUCCAUGAGAUAAGUGUAGCUAACUAAAGGGAGUAGUAUUUAGCACCGAGUUGGGUAAGUUACUACAGUUUCAUAUCCCAAAACUACGUGCCAUCGUAGGAUUGAGAUUUAUGGGCCCAAGGCCGAGAUAGUGAUCACUGAGUUGAGGCUAUACUCCCUGGAAAAAGUAUGACGCCUCUCCCCAACGUGAGGUUUCUUCCUUAUGAGGAUAAGACGUUGGACUCCAUGUAGCUCGCAUGGUGUAUGUUGGUUAACAAAACCUCCCUAAUAGCAAGAUUUUUCAGAGUAGUUUCUUGAAGUAAAAUUUUCCCAGGAAGAAAGUAGUUUUUCCUAUUAGUAAGAGUAAGUAAUUAGUUUCUAAAGUAAAGUAUGUUCCUUGAGAUGAGAUUUAUACUAUGUGUUUCAUUAUUUAUAAUUUACGAGAUAUGCAUUUUGAGAUUAUUCGAGCUAUGUGAGUCAGUUAUAUUAGCAGGCAUGAUUUCUAUAAAGAUUGAUGAUAUUAUUAUUUUAAGUAUCACAUACACCCCCAUAUACUCAGUAAAUCCUCAAAGUAUUGAUCCACAUAUACGUUUGUCUGCUACAUUGUCUAAUAAUGUAGGUUCAGGUGCUCAGUCUCAGCAGCGUUAGUGAUCUUCAAGUACCUUGAUCUACGCCUCCAUAGUUGGUGAGUCCUCAUGGUUUGAGGACCUUUUUUGCCUGAUUUCAUUCUUUAUAGUAGUUGGGUUAUUUCAUUUCAGUUGAGUAUGAGCCAGUUGGGGAUUUGUCCCAAUGGCUCUCUAGUUCUUGAGUAGUAGAGGCUUUGUCAGACUAGACUAUUAGUGGUGUUUUAGACUUUUCAGCAUGUUGUUAUUCAGACAGUAUGCUUUUGUUAUUUCAGUUGAGAUAUGUUAUGACUGUGCCAUUAUUUUGCUUUAUCCAUUUAAAAGUAAGUGUCAGAAGUAGUAAUAGGCUCAAAGGGUUAGCUUAGGGCUACUUGUAACCUUAAGCACCGUGUGACAUCUCAGAAUGAGCUUUUGGGACGUUACAAACUUACUAUCAGGGCCUAAGGUUUAAAGAGACCUAGGUAGUCUGACAAGCCGCGUUAAGUAAAGUCUUGAUCAUCGGUGUGUAGCACGCCACAUCUAUAAGCAAGAGGCUAUAAAAUGUUUUAGGAAAAAGUUCUCUUUCAUUCAGAAUCUAUCGUGCUUACAGUUGUUUCUCUCAGUUAUUAAUUCAUGCUCUCUUAUUUCAAAAAAUGCCUCCCCGAAGAGCUAAUGCCUAUAGGAAUGAUAACGAGCAACCUCAGCCUGUUGAUCCCUUGAAUGAGACUGUCUCAUGCUGAGUUUCGGCGGCCUUUUAGGCGUUAGCCUAAGCAGUCAUUGCAAAUCUCCAGGCCAAUAACCAGGCUGCAAUUUUGUAUCGGAAAGAAGGUGACUUAGCUGUUGCUAGGAUUCGUGAUUUCAUGCGGAUGAAUCCGCCAGAGUUCUAUGGGUCUAAGGCUGGUGAGGACCCACAGUUAUAUCUUAAAGAGGUGAGGAAGAUCACCCAAGUCAUGCAUAUUUUUGAGAAAAAGAGUGUAGAGCUGGCAUCUUAUCGUCUGAAAGACAUUGCUUAUGACUGGGUUGUUGCAUGGAGGAAGAAUAGAGGGGAAGAUAUUGCCUCUAUUACUUGGUAGAUGUUGCAGGAUGCGUUCUUAGAUAAGUUCUUCUCGUUAGAGAUGAGGGAAGCGAAGAUAGAGGAGUUUAUGAAUUUGAGACAGGGCUCCAUGACUGUUAAGGAGUACUGCCUCAAGUUCAACUAGUUAGCCAAGUAUGCUCCUAACGUGGUAGCUAACACCCGAUCUAGUAUGAGUAAGUUCGUGACCAGUGUGUUUGGUUUGGUGCUAAAAGAGUGUAGGAUUGUUAUGCUAAAUAGGGAUAUAGAUUUGUCCAGGCUGAUGAUGCACGCUCAAUAGAUUGAGGAAGAUAAGCUAAGGGAAAAAGAUAGAGUAAUAGAAAAUAAGAGGGCUAGAUUGGAGCAGUUUGAGCAUGGCCAGACUAGAACCCAUGGAAGGAACUGACCCUAGUUUCAGGAUCGUUCAUCUAUGCCAGCGCCUUCAUCAGCUAGUGCUCCCGCGCUUAGAAAUAGGCAGGAGCAGGGGAAUAGGCCUUCUAUGUCUAGGUCCCAGAAUAGUGUAAGUAACAAACCUUAUUAUCCUCCAUGUACUAAGUGUGGUAGGGACCAUCCCGGUGAGUUCUUAGCAGAUCAGAGGGGUUGUUUUGGUUGUGGCAAGAUAGGCCAUAGACUUAUAGAGUGCCCGCAUGCUAGGUAGGGGACCAGAGAUGUUCGACCUCAGACUCAGACUACCAGUGCACCAGCUCUUUUAGCCCGUUCAGCCCCUCCUUAGGGCGCUUCAUCCAGUACGGCUGGCGAUUAGUGCCAGAAUAGAUUCUAUGCUUUACUAUCCCGUCAAGAACAAGAGGAUUCUCCCAAUGUUGUUACUGGUAUGCUCCGUGUCUUUCACUUUGAUGUUUAUGUGUUGUUGGACCCUGGGUCAAGUUUCUCUUAUGUGACCCUAUUAGUUGCUGUGAAUUUUGAAAUGAGUCCCACAAAUAUUCUCGAGCCUUUCCUGGUUUCUACUCUAGUAAGUGAAUCAGUUGUUGCUAAGCACGUGUAUGAAAAGUGUCCUGUCACUGUCCUUCAUAGAGUCAUAUUUGCUAAUUUGAUAGAGUAGGAGAUGGUGGAUUUUGAUAUAAUUCUAGGUAUGGAUUAGCUUCACUCUUGCUAUGCAUCUAUAAACUGUCGUACCUGUGUGGUUAAGUUUCAGUUUCCUGAUGAGCCAGUCUUCAAGUGGUCUGAAAGUUCAGUAUCUCCCAAAAUACACUUUAUAUCCUAUCUCAAAGCUAGAAAGUUGAUAUCCAAAGGUUGUAUCUACCAUUUAGUUAGAGUUAAGGACACUAAGUCUGAGAUUUUGACCAUUCAGUCAGUCAGUAUAGUUAAUGAGUUUCCUGAUGUUUUUCCGGAAGAUCUCCCAGGGGUACCUCCUGAUAGAAAGAUAGAAUUUGGGAUUGACCUUCUUCCCGAUACACAGCCUACUUCUAUUCCUCCAUACAGUAUGGCACCUGCAGAGCUUAAGGAGUUGAAAGAGAAACUCAAAGAUCUUCUAGACAAAGGUUUCAUAAGGCCAGUGUUUCUUCUUGGGGCGCACCCAUCCUAUUCGUGCGGAAGAAAGAUGGUUCUUUGUGUAUGUGCAUUGACUAUCGUCAGCUUAAUAAGGUUACAGUCAAGAAUAAGUACCCUCUUUCAAGAAUUGAUGACCUGUUUGAUCAAUUGCAAGGUGUAAGUUAUUUCUCUAAGAUAGACCUUAGAUCCAGCUAUCAUCAGCUUAAAGUGAGGGAAUAUGAUAUUUCAAAGACAGCCUUCCAAACCCGCUAUGAUCACUUUAAAUUUCUAGUCAUGUCUUUCGAGCUAACCAAUGCUCCAGUAGCUUCAUAGACCUCAUGAAUCAAGUGUUCAGACAGUAUCUUGAUAUGUUUGUUAUAGUGUUCAUAGAUGAUAUCCUUGUGUACUCUCAUACUGAGAAUGACCACGCGGAUCAUCUUAGAAUUGUCUUGUAAACUCUUAGAUAUCAUCAGUUAUUCGCCAAAUUCAGCAAGUACGAAUUUUGGAUAAGGUCAGUAGCCUUUCUCGGUCAUAUUAUUUCAGCCGAAGGCAUUAGAGUUAAUCCCCAAAAGACAGAAGCUGUAAGAAAUUGGCCUAGACCUAUCUCUCCGUCAGAUAUUAGAAGUUUCUUGGGUCUAGCUGGCUACUACCGCCGUUUUGUUGGAGGUUUCUCUUCUAUUGCGUUCCCCAUGACCCGGUUGACCCAAAAGAAAUUUAAGUUCCUCUGGUCAGAUUCCUGUGAGAAAAGUUUUCAAAAGUUGAAGACUCGACUCACCUCAGCCCCUGUGUUGACUUUUCCUGAUUGUAUGGAUGAUUUUGUGGUGUAUUGUGAUGCCUCUAGAGUUGGUUUGGGAUAUGUGUUGAUACAGAGAGGUAAGGUUAUAGCUUAUGCCUCUAGACAAUUGAAGCUGCAUGAAAAGAAUUACCCAACCCAUGAUCUUAAAUUAGAUGUUAUGGUUUUUGCUUUGAAAAUCUGGAGACACUAUCUGUAUGGUGUUCAUGUUGAUGUGUUUACAGACCACAAAAGCUUGCAGUAUGUAUUUUCUCAGAGGAAGUUGAAUCUUUGUCAGAGAAAAUGGUUAGAGUUGCUAAAAGAUUAUGAUAUGAGUGUGUUGUAUCAUCCGGGCAAGGCCAACGUAGUGGCAAACGUCCUUAGUAAAGUGUCUAUGGGCAGUGUUGCUCAUGUGGAGAAAGAUAAGAAGGAGUUAGCUCGGGAAGUUCAUCAUUUGGCUAGACUGGGUGUUAGGUUGCUUGAUUUAGCUGAGGGGAAUGUUUCGGUUCAGAAUGGUUCUAAAUCCUCUUUAGUUUCAGAAGUGAAGGAGAAGCAAGACAUGGAUGCUAGUUUGGUCAAACUGAAGGAGUCAUUUAAGGACCAAAAGGUAGAGGUUUUCUCCCAAGGGGGAGAUGGUGUGUUAAGAUGUCAGAAUAGAUUGUGUGUUCCAUGUGUUGGUGAUUCGAGGCAGAGAAUUAUGGCUGAGGACAUGGUGUGCGGUAUUCUAUUCAUCCCGAUGCCACCAAGAUGUACCGCGACUUGCGAGAAGUCUAUUGGUGGAGUGGCAUAAAGAAGGAUAUAGCAGAGUUUGUGGCGAAGUAUGUAACCUGCCAACAGGGUAAGCUAGGGCACCAAAGACCUGGUGGUAAGCUGCAAGAGUUUGGUAUCCCCACUUGGAAGUGGGAAGAGGUGAAUAUGGAUUUCGUGGCUGGUCUACCCCUUUCACGUCGUCAUUUUAUACAGCUGAGGAUUAUGCUAGGUUGUAUAUUCGGGAGUUAGUCAGAUUGCAUGGAGUUUCCUUGUCUAUCAUCUCGGAUAGGGGUACUCAGUUUACUUCUCAGUUUUGGAGAGCUUUUCAGAAGGGUCUUGGUACCCAAGUGCAUCUUAGUUCCGCUUUUCACCCGCAGACAGAUGGUCAGGCUGAGAGAACCAUCCAGACUCUAGAAGAUAUGUUGUGGGCAUGUGCUCUUGAUUUCAAGGGUAGUUGGGAUGAGGAUUUGCCACUGAUUGAGUUUACAUGUAACAAUAGUUAUCACUCUAGCAUUCAGAUGGCACCAUUUGAGGUUUUGUGUGGUAGAAGAUGUAGAUCACCCAUAGGUUGGUUUGAGGUGGGUGAGGCUGCUGUGAAUGGGCAUGCAGUGUUUGAGGCUAUGGAGAAAGUUAAGUUUAGAGAAAAGUUGAAGACUGCCCAGAGUCGUCAAAAGUCAUAUGCCGAUGUGAGAGAAGAGAACUUGAGUUUGAGGUGGGUGACUUGGUGUAUCUGAAGAUUUCACCCAUGAAUGGGGUGAAAACGUUUGGCAAAAAGGGUAAGCUUAGUCCCCGUUAUGUUGGCCCUUAUAGAGUUCUGAGUCGUGUUAGGAGAGCAGCUUAUGAAGUUGAGUUGCCUGCAGAUCUAUCAGUUGUUCAUCCUGUCUUUCACGUCUCCCUGCUUAAGAAGAGCAUUGGUGAUUCCGUUGUUGUAGAUCCUUUGAAGAGCUCAGAUAUUCAAACCAGUCUUUCUUACGAAGAGAUUCUAGUCGAGAUUCUAGACCAUCAGAUUCGUAGACUAUGGAACAAAGAAGUUCCCUUGGUCAAAGUUUUGUGUUAGAAUCAUUCAGUUGAGGGCGCUACUUGGGUAGCGGAAGCAGAUAUGUGAGCCAAGUAGCCGCACCUUUUCUCCGUGAGUUCAGAUCAAGCUAAAGGUAUUAUUCUUCCUUAAUUCAGUUCCUUUCUAAUCAAAUUCAGCUACGUAUUUAGUUAUGUGAAAGCUCUUGCACUUCCCGGAGUAGUAAAAGGUUUCGAAAGAUUUAACUCCGGUUUAGCCAUUUGAUUUAGUUGUGCAUCCUUAGUUCCUCGGUAUCUUAAUCUAACUAGCGACAUUCGAGGAUGAAUGUUUUCAAGGGGAAGAUAUUGUGAUACCCUGUAAAGUUCCCUCGUAGUCUAAGCCUUUAGAGCAUGUCAAGUGAAGCCGUUUUAAAAUGGGCUUUUUGGUCUUUUUCCACCCAUUUUGACACCUAGAUAUAUCAAAACGAAGCAUAGAACUUUAGAAUCAUCCAAAGCAUCAAGAACUAGGAUUUUCUCUCAAGAUUAAUCCUUAAAAGCAAAUCCAAAUCUUUCUCCAAGAACCUUAAGAUUCCACCAUAGUUUCUACCAAUUGAGUUAAGAUUCAAGGUUACCAAGUCAAAAGCUUCAAGAACCAUCACUCAAGAGUACGAAAAAGAGCCUCAAGCAAGCUUGUUCAUCUACAAGUCAUAAUCUAAGGUAUGUGGGGUUUGAACAAGAACACUCUUUUCGUUCUGUGCCCAAAAGUUGUUUUAAUUACAAAGAUAUAUGGUUUUACAUAUUUUCUUAUGAAAUUGAAGUAUGGGUUUAUACCUUAUGUUAUUAUUUCUUGAUAUUAUGAUGGUUUCAAUGUUUUAGAAAUUGAAGUACAUGAGUAUGUUGAGAUUAUAAUGCAAUUGCUGAAAAUUUCCAGAUUUCUAUAUGAUUUAUGAAUCUUUAUGAUAUCGAGUAUGAAUUUUGAUAUGUCUUAAUGUGAGAUUGAUAUAUUGGUCAUUAAGCCUUAUUUGAGAUUGUAAUGUUAAGAACUUUUGUGCUAUAAGCACCCAUGGUUUGAGUAUUUUGAGAUUAUUGAAAAAGUUUUGACCUUGACGGUCAUAGUAGCUUUGAAAUCCACUAUUCUAAAUGAGAUUACAAAUUUUAUAGUUGGGUUCUUUAUGAACCAUGAGAUUAUUUUAAAGUGGAUUUCCAUGAGAUAAGUGUAGCUAACUAAAGGGAGUAGUAUUUAGCACCGAGUUGGGUAAGUUACUACAGUUUCAUAUCCCAAAACUACGUGCCAUCGUAGGAUUGAGAUUUAUGGGCCCAAGGCCGAGAUAGUGAUCACUGAGUUGAGGCUAUACUCCCUGGAAAAAGUAUGACCUCCCCAACGUGAGGUUUCUUCCUUAUGAGGAUAAGACGUUGGACUCCAUGUAGCUCGCAUGGUGUAUGUCGGUUAACAGAAUCUCCCUAAUCGCAAGAUUUUUCAGAGUAGUUUCUUAAAGUAAAAUUUUCCCAAGAAGAAAGUAGUUUUUCCUAUUAGUAAGAGUAAGUAAUCAGUUUCUAAAGUAAAGUAUGUUCCUUGAGAUGAGAUUUAUACUAUGUGUUCCAUGAUUCAUAAUUUACGAGAUAUGCAUUUUUGAGUUUAUUCGAGUAUGUGAGUCAGUUAUAUUAGCAUGACAGUUUCAUAUCCCAAAACUACGUGCCAUCGUAGGAUUGAGAUUUAUGGGCCCAAGGCCGAGAUAGUGAUCACUGAGUUGAGGCUAUACUCCCUAACAAGAGUAUGACGCCUCUCCCCAACGUGAGGUUUCUUCCUUAUGAGGAUAAGACGUUGGACUCCAUGUAGCUCGCAUGGUGUAUGUCGGUUAACAGAAUCUCCCUAAUCGCAAGAUUUUUCAGAGUAGUUUCUUAAAGUAAAAUUUUCCCAAGAAGAAAGUAGUUUUUCCUAUUAGUAAGAGUAAGUAAUCAGUUUCUAAAGUAAAGUAUGUUCCUUGAGAUGAGAUUUAUACUAUGUGUUCCAUGAUUCAUAAUUUACGAGAUAUGCAUUUUUGAGUUUAUUCGAGUAUGUGAGUCAGUUAUAUUAGCAUGUAGCAUGCAUGAUUUCUGUAAAGAUUGAUGAUAUUAUUAUUUUAAGUAUCGCAUACACCCCCAUAUACUCAGUACAUCCUCAAAGUACUGAUCCAUAUAUACGUUUGUGUGCUACAUUGUCUCAUAAUGUAGGUUCAGGUGCUCAUUUUCAGCAGCGUCAGUGAUCUCCGAGUACCUUGAUCUACGCCUCUAUAGUUGGUGAGUCCUCAUGGUUCGAGGACCUGUUUUCCCUAAUUUCAGUCUUCAUAGUAGUUAGGUUAUUUCUUUUUAGUGGAGUAUGAGCCAGUUGGGGGUCUGUCCCAAUGGGUCUCUAGUUCUUGAGUAGUAGAGUCUUUGUCAGACUAGACUAUCAGUGGUGUUUUAGACUUUUCAGGAUGUUGCUAUUCAAACAGUAUUCUUUUGUUAUUUCAGUUGAGAUAUGUUAUGACAGUGCCAUUGUUUUGCUUUAUCCAUCUUAAAAGUAAGUGUCAGAAGUAGUAACAGGCUCAAAGGGUUAGCUUAGGGCUACUUGUAGCCUUAAGCACCGCGUGACGUCUCGAAAUGAGAUUUUGGGGCGUUACAGUUAUUUGUUUCUAACCCUGGUCGGUCGAUGAUGCUUAUUGGCACAUAUGAUUGUACUGAUGCUACACUUACUAUACCUCCACACAGGGGUAUAGCCAUGGUGCUGUUAGUUGGAGUUUCUAUAGAAGCAAUGUCGAUCGCUCAAAAACUGCUUCUACUAUUUCUAUUCUGCAUAGAUGUUGUGUCAUAGACGUAGCUACCCUUUGUCUAGUGAUCUUGUAUCUGUUUAAGGUAGGUUUAGGGGAGUCACUCGUAGUUGUUUUUCACAUAUAUUUUUCAUAUCUGAUGUAUUAUGUAUUAAAAUAAGUUAUGAAAAAAUUAAUAAUCGUUUUCAAACUGUUAAAUAGUUAUUAAAAUAAUAGACAAUAUUGAUUAAGUGAACUGUAGUAACUUCUACAUUGAUUUAAUAGUGGGAUAUUUAGAAUUCUCAUAUCUGAAAUAGGCGUAGGUAGGUGUCUGACACACUUCGAUGGGUUGGGUCAUGACAUAAUAUUCACAUAAGCCCCCACAGAUGAAACACAAAAACGGUAAUCAAUCCAAACAACGCAUAAAAAAUAAUGAGAUGUACCCAAAACCUAGCUUGUUCUUAUAUGUACACGAGUAUAUUACCCUGUAGUAUAAUGCGAUGUAUUUCAUAUACAUACUUUGACGAGUUAUCGAUUAAUUUGAUUAUUAGCUUACAUUAAUAAAACUUCAACGUACAGUAUAUUGUUACUU
rnacentral:lncRNA from 1 species